CCCCGCCCCGCCGGGUGAGUGGGCCAGGCCGAGAGUCAGGCUGCUCCUGCCCGCUGGGCUGAAUGUGAUCUUGGUGAUGGAGGCCACCAGAACCUGGAGAAAAGGGACGCCUAAAAGAAGUAACUUGGAGAAUUCUACACACCAAGAUUCACUAGCACCUGUGGACCCAGGAACAGUGUCACUACUGCUGCAGAGCCAGGAGCACCAAGCACCUUCUAGAAUAAGAUAGACACCCUGAUGAAUCUUCCUGGAUGCUUGCUGACAUUUCUGAUGCCUUAGGUGACAGGAAGCCUUCUGUGCCACAGAGGGGACUCCCAGGGAGCGACACCAAUGGGUGCAACAGGGUACAGUAAUGAAGAAGUGUCGGAGGGGUCUUAAGAGGAGCCCAGAGGCUGCAUCCCAACCUCUGUGUGGGGGAAUGAUCUCGGCCAGUGAGCUCUCUUCUCCAGAGAGAGUCCUGAGGGCAGCAUUAGGGAUUGGGAGUUGCCAGUCAUGACGCUUAUCCUGUCUCCACUACCCUAGUCUUCCUCGGGAGAAAAAUGCUGAUGUCUUUGGGGAAAUAGUCACCUCCUAUCCUAAAACAAAGUUCAGCCAAGCUCUAUACCAACUAGUAGUGUAGGGUGACUAACAUUUGGAGGGGUUUUUCUCUGCUCCGCAGCAAAGGCAUUUUUGUUUUGUUUUGUUUUUCGAGACAGGGUUUCUCUGUGUAGCUUUGGAACCUAUCCUGGCACUUGCUCUGGAGACCAGGCUAGCUUCGAACUCACGGAGAUCUGCCUGCCUCUGCCUCCCGAGUGCUGGGAUUAAAGGCGUGCGCCACCAAUGCCCAGCUUGUUUUGUUUUUUUAAAGACAGAGUUUCUCUUUGUAGUCCUGGCUCUCCUGGAACCCUCUCUGGCCAGCUGACCCAGAAGGCCCAGACUGGUCUUGAACUGAGAGAUCUGCCUACCUCUGCUUCCCAAGUUCUGGGACUAAAGGUGUCUUCUUGCCUGCUUCUAAUAACACCAUGGACACAGAGCAAAGGGUUGGAGGAGUGUAGACCUUACCUGAUGAGCCUUGUCAGUUGAAAACCGUCAUGGACUGUGAGUUUAUUUAUUUAUUUUUGUUGCUACAGUAUUCAAGACAUUCUUUGAAUUUAAGAGUUUAGGGCUGGAGAGAUAUCUCAGUGGGUAAAAAAAACACUUGUGCAAGCAUGAGGACCUGAAUUCAAAUCCUCAGAACCCAUGUAAAAGUGUAUACCUCACAUCUGUAAUCCCAGUGAAUUACAGGGAUAUGGGAGGCAGAGACAGGAAAACUACCAGAAACUCAUGGACCAGCAAGCCAAGAGUACAUAGUAGAAGAAUAACGGAGACCCUAUCUCAAAUAAAGUGGAAGGUGAGGACUGCUACCAGAAGUUGUCCUCUGACCUCCAUGUGUACCCUGUGGCAAGAUAGUUCACACAUGAUUAUGCACACACAUGCACACACAGAGAAACACAUUUUUUUAAGGAGCUGGAGAGAUAGCUCAGUGGGGAAGAGUCCUUGCUUGCAAACACGAGGCUCUGAGUUUGGAUCCCCAUGAUUCUCACAAAGCCAAGCGCAGUAGUGUGCAUCUGUAAUCCCACUGUACCUUCAGCUAGAAGGGAGAAGACCAGAGGACCCCAAAAGCUUGAGGGCCAAGUGGCCUGAGUAUGCAGUAGCCAACCAGAAGAGAUCCUGCCUCCACAGAGUGGAAGAUGAAGACCAAGACUCAAGGUGUCCUCUGACCUUCCCAUGUGUGAUUUGACACCUGCACAUACAUAAC
ensembl:lncRNA